UUUUAGAUCUUCAGCAUUUGGGGGGAGGCAGAUUGUGGACCCCCACUGCGCCAAUCUUCCAAAAGGUUGUGUGGGCCUCUGAAGGUGGAGGCCUCCCCCAGCCGACCUUGGGGAGGAAAAGUUCAGAGAUUUUGCAAUUAGCCAAGUGACUGAAACUAUUUCCGCUUUUGCUGCUGUUGUAGCCUGGCAGGGAAGGCAAAGACCUGGAGCUGGAGCCAGAGCUGGGUGCCUCACUGUGCUGCGUGGACACUCCACAAGAAGGCAGCAGAACCCUGUGAUGCCAGGGGUCAUGGUCCAGCAUCUCCCUUUCCACCUGGAAGAGCACAGCCCUGCCAGCUUGGCUUUCAUUUCUUUCGUGGAUCCUCCUUGCUUCCUGCCAGGAAAGGAGAAAGGGAAGAGAAGGGAUAGAGGUGGGCUCUCUAGGUGAGCGCAUCAGCUGGCCCCAGCCCGCACAGACAAGAAUUCUCUUCGCAGGAAGCUCCUCUCUUUCCCGCUGCCGCCCACCCCCA